rfam:Astyanax mexicanus chromosome 3, whole genome shotgun sequence.
GUUGGCUAUGGGGAUAUUUAUCCACAGACUUUGCUUGGCAAAAUAGUUGGUGGUCUUUGUUGCAUCGCUGGUGUGCUGGUCAUUGCCUUACCGAUCCCCAUCAUUGUGAACAAC